rnacentral:rRNA from 1 species
GGGUCCUUUCGGGGACUUAGUGGCGGACGGGUGAGUAACGCGUGAGAAUCUGCCUUCAGGACGGGGACAACAGUUGGAAACGACUGCUAAGACCCGAUGUGCCGAGAGGUGAAAUAUUUAUAGCCUGAAGAUGAGCUCGCGUCUGAUUAGCUAGUUGGUGGGGUAAGAGCCCACCAAGGCGACGAUCAGUAGCUGGUCUGAGAGGAUGAUCAGCCACACUGGGACUGAGACACGGCCCAGACUCCUACGGGAGGCAGCAGUGGGGAAUUUUCCGCAAUGGGCGAAAGCCUGACGGAGCAAGACCGCGUGAGGGAGGAAGGUCUGUGGAUUGUAAACCUCUUUUCUCAAGGAAGAAGAUCUGACGGUACUUGAGGAAUCAGCAUCGGCUAACUCCGUGCCAGCAGCCGCGGUAAUACGGAGGAUGCAAGCGUUAUCCGGAAUUAUUGGGCGUAAAGCGUCCGUAGGUGGUUUUACAAGUCAGUUGUUAAAGCGUGGAGCUCAACUCCAUAAAGGCAAUUGAAACUGUGAGACUAGAGUUUGGUAGGGGUAAGGGGAAUUCCCAGUGUAGCGGUGAAAUGCGUAGAUAUUGGGAAGAACACCGGUGGCGAAAGC